GAGUUUGAUCAUGGCUCAGAUUGAACGCUGGCGGCAGGCUUAACACAUGCAAGUCGAACGGUAACAUGGGUGCUUGCACCUGAUGACGAGUGGCGGACGGGUGAGUAAUGUAUGGGGAUCUGCCGAAUGGAAUGGGACAACAGUUGGAAACGACUGCUAAUACCGUAUAAUGUCGCGAGACCAAAGUGUGGGACUUUCGGGCCACAUGCCAUUUGAUGAACCCAUAUGGGAUUAGCUAGUAGGUGGGGUAAUGGCUCACCUAGGCGACGAUCUCUAGCUGGUCUGAGAGGAUGACCAGCCACACUGGAACUGAGACACGGUCCAGACUCCUACGGGAGGCAGCAGUGGGGAAUAUUGCACAAUGGGGGAAACCCUGAUGCAGCCAUGCCGCGUGUAUGAAGAAGGCCUUAGGGUUGUAAAGUACUUUCGGUGAUGAGGAAGGUACUUGGUCUAAUAGGCCAAGUAAUUGACGUUAAUUACAGAAGAAGCACCGGCUAACUCCGUGCCAGCAGCCGCGGUAAUACGGAGGGUGCGAGCGUUAAUCGGAAUGACUGGGCGUAAAGGGCAUGUAGGCGGAUGAUUAAGUUAGGUGUGAAAUCCCCGAGCUCAACUUGGGAAUUGCAUUUAAAACUGGUCGUCUAGAGUAUUGUAGAGGAAGGUAGAAUUCCACGUGUAGCGGUGAAAUGCGUAGAGAUGUGGAGGAAUACCGGUGGCGAAGGCGGCCUUCUGGACAGAUACUGACGCUGAGAUGCGAAAGCGUGGGGAGCAAACAGGAUUAGAUACCCUGGUAGUCCACGCUGUAAACGAUGUCGAUUUGGAGUUUGGGGGCAUGUCCCUUGGGCUCCGGAGCUAACGCGUUAAAUCGACCGCCUGGGGAGUACGGCCGCAAGGUUAAAACUCAAAUGAAUUGACGGGGGCCCGCACAAGCGGUGGAGCAUGUGGUUUAAUUCGAUGCAACGCGAAGAACCUUACCUGGUCUUGACAUCCAUAGAAUCUUUCAGAGAUGAGAGAGUGCCUUCGGGAGCUAUGAGACAGGUGCUGCAUGGCUGUCGUCAGCUCGUGUUGUGAAAUGUUGGGUUAAGUCCCGCAACGAGCGCAACCCUUAUCCUUUGUUGCCAGCGGUUCGGCCGGGAACUCAAAGGAGACUGCCGUUGAUAAAGCGGAGGAAGGUGGGGACGACGUCAAGUCAUCAUGGCCCUUACGACCAGGGCUACACACGUGCUACAAUGGCGUAUACAAAGGGAAGCGAAGGAGCGAUCUGGAGCGGACCUCCUAAAGUACGUCUAAGUCCGGAUUGGAGUCUGCAACUCGACUCCAUGAAGUCGGAAUCGCUAGUAAUCGUGAAUCAGAAUGUCACGGUGAAUACGUUCCCGGGCCUUGUACACACCGCCCGUCACACCAUGGGAGUGGGUUGCACCAGAAGUAGAUAGCUUAACCGAAAGGGGGGCGUUUACCACGGUGUGAUUCAUGACUGGGGUGAAGU
rnacentral:rRNA from 1 species